ACCCAUGGGGCUCAGUUCUUCAG
rnacentral:miRNA from 1 species